rnacentral:rRNA from 1 species
CCUACGGGCGGCAGCAGUGGGGAAUAUUGCACAAUGGGGGAAACCCUGAUGCAGCGACGCCGCGUGAGUGAAGAAGUAAUUCGUUAUGUAAAGCUCUAUCAGCAGGGAAGAAAAUGACGGUACCUGACCAAGAAGCCCCGGCUAAAUACGUGCCAGCAGCCGCGGUAAUACGUAUGGGGCAAGCGUUAUCCGGAUUUACUGGGGGUAAAGGGAGCGGAGGCGGCAGGGCAAGCCUGAUGUGAAAGCCCGGGGCUCAACCCCGGGACUGCAUGGGGAACUGCCCAGCUCGAGUGCCGGAGGGGCAGGCGGAAUUCCUAGUGUAGCGGUGAAAUGGGUAGAUAUUAGGAGGAACACCAGUGGCGAAGGCGGCCUGCUGGACGGUGGACUGACGCUGAGGCUCGAAAGCGUGGGGAGCAAACAGGAUUAGAUACCCCGGUAGUC